GACGAACGCUGGCGGCGUGCUUAACACAUGCAAGUCGAACGGUAAGGCCCUUCGGGGUACACGAGUGGCGAACGGGUGAGUAACACGUGGGUGAUCUGCCCUGCACUUCGGGAUACGCCUGGGAAACUGGGUCUAAUACCGGAUAGGACCCUGGGCUGCAUGUCCGGGGGUGGAAAGCUUUUGUGGUGUGGGAGGGGCCCGCGGCCUAUCGGCUUGUUGGUGGGGUGAUGGCCUACCAAGGCGACGGCGGGUAGCCGGCCUGAGACGGGUGACCGGCCACACUGGGACGGAGAUACGGCCCAGACUCCUACGGGAGGCAGCAGUGGGGAAUAUUGCACAAUGGGCGCAAGCCUGAUGCAGCGACGCCGCGUGAGGGAUGACGGCCUUCGGGUUGUAAACCCCUUUCAGCACCGACGAAGCGCAGGUGACGGUAGGUGCAGAAGAAGGACCGGCCAACUACGUGCCAGCCGCCGCCGUAA
rnacentral:rRNA from 1 species